rnacentral:rRNA from 1 species
AAGUACCUACGGGGGGCAGCAGUGAGGAAUAUUGGUCAAUGGCCGGAAGGCUGAACCAGCCAAGCCGCGUGAAGGACGAAGGUGCCAAGCAUUGUAAACUUCUUUUGUCAAGGGAUAAAAUCAGGCUCGAGAGCCUGACCGAGGGUACUUGAAGAAAAAGCAUCGGCUAACUCCGUGCCAGCAGCCGCGGUAAUACGGAGGAUGCGAGCGUUAUCCGGAUUUAUUGGGUUUAAAGUGUGCGUAGGCGGGCUGUUAAGUCAG